rnacentral:snRNA from 1 species
AAGGAAUCAAAUUCUGCAUGAAG